rnacentral:misc_RNA from 1 species
AAACUGCGAUAAGUAGCGUGAAUUGCAGACGCUUUGAACGUUAAACUUUCGAACGCACAUUGCGCCGUAGGAGUCCUACCCUGCGGCACAUCUGGUUGAGGGUCGUGAUCAAAAACAGCAGGACUAUGGCUUUAAUAGAAAUAGCUGGUGAAUCACGAGUUCGGCCUACCGCCUCUGGCUGAACGUGUUUUGCCAUAAUGCUAGAAGAGGACAAUCGCUCGCAAGAGAGAUUGCCUACCACACGGAUGAUCUAUUAGCUGAAGCAAUAGGUCUCGGUCACCGGGUAUCAUGCUUAACUAUAUACUCUGUGGCGUCUGAGAUACAGCUAGUGGGCUUCAUACGUGCCUGGUAUUGAGAGUAUUCGCUCUCCCGACCUCAACUCAGGUGUGAUUACCCGCUGAACUUAAGC